rnacentral:rRNA from 1 species
AGUGAACGCUGGCGGUAGGCCUAACACAUGCAAGUCGAACGGCAGCACAGUAAGAGCUUGCUCUUACGGGUGGCGAGUGGCGGAAGGGUGAGGAAUACAUCGGAAUCUACUUUUUCGUGGGGGAUAACGUAGGGAAACUUACGCUAAUACCGCAUACGACCUACGGGUGAAAGCAGGGGAUCUUCGGACCUUGCGCGAUUGAAUGAGCCGAUGUCGGAUUAGCUAGUUGGCGGGGUAAAGGCCCACCAAGGCGACGAUCCGUAGCUGGUCUGAGAGGAUGAUCAGCCACAUGGGAACUGAGACACGGCCCAGACUCCGACGGUAGGCAGCAGUGGGGAAUAUUGGACAAGGGGGGCAAGCCUGAUCCAGCCAUACCGCGUGGGUGAAGAAGGCCUCCGGGUUGUAAAGUCAUUUUGUUGGGAAAGAAAAGCAGCAGGUUAACACCCCGCUGUUCUGACGGUACUCAAAGAAUAAGCACCGGCUAACUUCGUG